UAUAUGUACCUAUAUGUGUGAAAUUUUAUAUAUACACAUAAGCAUCAUCGAAUUAGUUAAGUGAAAUAGAUUUGAAAAUUAGACUAAUUCUUGGACCAAUUUCUUAAUUAAUUCUCAGCCUUGAAAACCUAAUUAAAGUCAGCCCAAAAUCCCCAAAAACUACCAGCCCAAUCCAAUACCCCUUUUCGGCCUAACAAUAACCAAGCUGCCCAACCCAACUAGAAAACCCCUAACCCGGCCCAAAAAGCCUCAUUCCUAAACCAGCUAACACCCCUAAAUCUUCUCAUUCCUCUUCAUGUUAAAAUUCAACCAAAACUAAGCUCCUAUCACCUCAAUCACGAUAAAUACGCCUGAUUUUUGGGCUUUUACAGAGCCAACAGCUACAAUAGUCUUCUCCAUCACUUCAAGCUCUGAAAAUAAAGACUUUUUUGCUCCCUUUCCCCCUCCCUUUUUUAUUUUUUGAAUUCUGAAUUUGAGAUUCUUAAAGAAGCCGUUGCAGCCCUUUUACCUAUGAAAAGGGAGUCUUGUUCACAGUGAAGGACCAAGAAAAACGAUUAUCAAAUUAGCACUAAAAAUCGGGAAGUUCAUACCUUUAUUUCCUCCUCCUUUUGUUUUCCGAGUUCAAAGUUUGAGCUAGUGCGAAUCUCCAACGGAAGAGCCCUUGCUGCCUCGAAAAACGUUAGCGUAUGUAAUAACAGGUUAUUUUGGGAUUGCUUUUCUACAAUUGUUCGAAGGCACGAUUUGAGUAUACACGCAACAUGCCUAAAAAUGUUCUUAUCGGUGAAAACAUAGUCAAAAACUUGCAAAUUCAAAUGCCCAUGUUAUGUAGAUACAUUGACCCUUUCUUGUGCUAAGUAUAGUUAAUAUACCCUUUUAAAUUUCAACAUUGAUAAAAUAAUUUUGCAGGGACUUAGUUUUGUCUAUGUGGUGAGUCCCUGAAUAGACAAUCUAAUAUAAAGGUGUGCAUAAGACAUUAGUAUUCUCAGCAUUUUGUUCAUUAUCGAACUUAGCAGCUAGCCGAUGUUCGGCCACAACUAUUAUUCUUAAUAUAACAUUUUUUGUCAAGUUAAA